CUUGUGCUAAUACCGGAUAAGCCCUUACGGGGAAAGAUUUAUCGCCGAAAGAUCGGCCCGCGUCUGAUUAGCUAGUUGGUAGGGUAAUGGCCUACCAAGGCGACGAUCAGUAGCUGGUCUGAGAGGAUGAUCAGCCACAUUGGGACUGAGACACGGCCCAAACUCCUACGGGAGGCAGCAGUGGGGAAUAUUGGACAAUGGGGGCAACCCUGAUCCAGCCAUGCCGCGUGAGUGAUGAAGGCCCUAGGGUUGUAAAGCUCUUUUGUGCGGGAAGAUAAUGACGGUACCGCAAGAAUAAGCCCCGGCUAACUUCGUGCCAGCAGCCGCGGUAAUACGAAGGGGGCUAGCGUUGCUCGGAAUCACUGGGCGUAAAGGGUGCGUAGGCGGGUUUUUAAGUCAGGGGUGAAAUCCUGGAGCUCAACUCCAGAACUGCCUUUGAUACUGAAG
rnacentral:rRNA from 1 species